rnacentral:rRNA from 1 species
GAUGAACGCUGGCGGCGUGCUUAACACAUGCAAGUCGAACGGAACUACUCCAAUGAGAGUCUUCGGAAAGGAUUUGGUUUAGUUUAGUGGCGGACGGGUGAGUAACGCGUGGGUAACCUGCCCUAUACAGGGGGAUAACAGUUGGAAACGACUGUUAAUACUGCAUAAGCGCACAGGAGCGCAUGCUCCGGUGUGAAAAACUCCGGUGGUAUAGGAUGGACCCGCGUCUGAUUAGCUGGUUGGCGGGGUAACGGCCCACCAAGGCGACGAUCAGUAGCCGGCCUGAGAGGGUGAACGGCCACAUUGGGACUGAGACACGGCCCAAACUCCUACGGGAGGCAGCAGUGGGGAAUAUUGCACAAUGGGGGAAACCCUGAUGCAGCGACGCCGCGUGAGCGAAGAAGUAUCUCGGUAUGUAAAGCUCUAUCAGCAGGGAAGAAAAUGACGGUACCUGACUAAGAAGCCCCGGCUAACUACGUG